UGGCGGGGAGCGAACGGGAUGAGGGGUGAUGAAGGGAUCAGGCGGGAGCCCAACACCAGGGCGGGGGUGCGGGACAAGAGAGGCAUGCACAUGAUUUUAAGAAAUUCAAAUCUAAAGGCAUCAAAAGAAAAGAAUUCCCUGGCCCAACUCAGCCCCCUCAGACUAGGUCUGCAGCUGACCAACUGCAGGGGUGACCUGGGGUCUGGAGGAGAGCGGGGCCGGUGAGACCCUGAUUAGGCUCCACAGCUCCCCAUCCCUGCCACCCCCCUCCUGCCCUCUGCUGUCCCCUGGCCUCGGGCCACUCUGGCUUCGCAACCUCGCACAAGCCAAGUGCACUCCUGUCUGCCCUUGCGACCCCCAGGCCACCCUCCUCACCUCAUUUUCUGUGUCUCCUGACUUCCUGUCCACUUCCCUCUCCUCUGUCUUCACAGCGCACGACACCACACCUGCAUAGACCAGAACACACGCUUCUUAAACAGCGAGGCCUUUUUUGGUCCCUGCUUUCCCUCACUUCCUAAAAGAGUGCUUAAGUGCACGCUGAAAAAGCUGGAUGACCAUUCUUUACCCUGACUGCUUGAGCCUCCUUUCAGGUCCACAAUCACCUGCUUGAGUUUCUCUUUUCAAGAUCUUCAUACUAGGCGUUUGCCAGUGGUUCAACACGGAGGUUAGGAAAGCAGUUUCCCCAUGGCCCACCCCCAGUGUGGCUGCCUCUGACUGCCAACCUCAGAGACUCCUGAAGGGAGUGCCAAUUGUGUCCUCCAGAGCCAACCCUCCUUACGCCCAAGGCUGUGCCUGCAUCAGGACAACUGAACAGCAGCCCCAGCUCCUGAGCUUCUUGGAGCACUGGCUGGAGCCCCAGUAGCAGCUGCACUGUUGUCAGGCUGCUUCUCUGCCCAACCCGUCCCCUCACCUGUGCACUGAUUUUCCUUCUGAGAAUACAUGCAAUAAACUCCCACACACAGAUUGCAGCUCCAGAAUCUGUUUCCAGAGAGAUCCAGCAUAAGACAGGAGGGGCCAGGUGAUCGGGGAGCUGCCUCUGGGGUGGGGUUUGAGAGCUGGCUGCCAAAUGGUGGCGCAGCAGCCCCUCCCGGCUGAGCAGUGCUGAGCUGGAGCAGAACUGGUAGGUAGAGGGUAGGAAACAGAGUGAGGGGCCGUGUGUCAGACACUGGAGCAGUUGGGAAAAGCACGAAUUAUCUGGACUAUGGAAUCAGGUGGCUCUUGCUGAGGGCAAGGCAAAGAAAAGAUCACCAUUUAAAGCAAAGUGUGACAAUAAGGAGGUCUCCUUGGCACCUGCAGCUAGAGAGCCAACAACAUCUACAGGUCAGAGUGAGACCUAAUCCUGAGACAGCGCUGCGCCAGACCGGCUGGACACUCAGGUAAAUAAGUGACCCUGUAGGAGCCAGGUGACAUAGCUCUCGUGACCUGGUAGGAGAAUCCAGAGAAAGGAGUAGUGACACCCUUGAAUAAUCUCUCUCCGGUGUUCAUUGUUUGGGUCACAUCGAGGAGAAAAGCGGAAGAGAGAGGCAUCUGCGCUGAGGUUUGCUGGACGCUCGAAGCCCGGCUGUUCUGUGCUGCUGGGGAAAGGAGGUCCCAGCUCAAGCCAGUGAGCUUCAGGGGUCGCUGCCCCAGCCCAAGCCUGGCCUCCGCUCGCUGGUAGAAACCCUUAACGGUUUGUCUGCUGUUUGUUGAUAUCAAUACAUCUGUCAGUUUGAGUUAAUAGUUGAAUAUAACCUCAGACAUAUGGUGGAUGUACUGUUAGGUAGAUUUGUGAUGCCUCGAUUGCUUAUUGUGAAGCAUGUUCACCCAAAAUGUCUAUGUUUUUGUCAUGAUAAAGUUUAACUUGUUGUUUGUGACCAUGAUUAGCCAAGUAUCAAGGAGCUUUUUGAAGACACUUCUGAAACCAGCAAUUAACUGGGCUCCAGAUCCAGUCUUCUUAGCCGUGGCCAGAUGACAUGUGCUUUUCUUCUAAAAUCUCCAUCAAAGCAUCCCAGAGGAGUCAACAGGAGGGGCACCUGAUUCAUCAUUUGGGAUGGGGAUUUGCUGUCAGUGCACCCUCACAGCAGAACCACAACACAGGCUCCAGAGGAGAAAACCCAGGACUCAGGAAACUUGGCCUUUGACCACAGAUGCUUCCUGUGCAGGGAGCUGGGCUCUGGAGACCCAGUGAUGAAUGCAGCGGCUGUCCCAAACUGCUCUUCAAAUCGUUCAAACCAAGCCAAACAGAUUUUAUCAAGGGCCAGUAGGAGCUGCUGCUUUUGUGAAACAGUAGUUCGAGAGAAGCAACGUAAUAGUGAAGAAACUUGAAAGGGGCAAAAAUGAUACCAGAGUGCCCACCACUAUAUUGUAUUUCCUUCAAGAUUUUCUUAGUAUUUACAGAUGGUCUUACACAGUGGCACUAGGGUUUGUUUGAGUAUUUACUCUGUUUGGGAAUUCAUUUUCUUAGCACGACCUUUACUGAGCACCUGGCCUGCAUCCACCGUGGGAAGAUGGGACCCUUGGGGCUGGUGCACCUCCUAGGAUGCCACGCUGAGGACCUCCGCAGCUCCUCCACCCACAGUUCACCUUGGAAUGGACGAGGAGAAAGCCCUGGAAGUGGACUCGGUCUUGAAGGUCUAGACACAGUGGCAGCACUGAAGAGAACCUGAAAGCCUGAGGUUGUGCUGGGCCUGGGAGUCGAGGAGCCACCUUGGGACACCUGGCCAGGCCAGCACCACCUCGCCCCUUCACGACGAUCGCGUUGCUCUGACUCCUAGCAGGUGGGUGGCACCGAAGGGAGCGGGUGGUGGCAGCUGGCAGAGGAGGAAACCUGCCAGACUGUGCUGCAGGGAGGCCCGGUGACCCCAGGGCGGCAGAGAGACCAGGUCGGGCUCAGGAGCAGCACAGUGUCUGUGGCCUGCACACACACUGAUUAACUGUGAGUGUGAAAAUGACUGGCUUUUAUUACCUGUCUGGCCUCUGACACAUGGCUUAUUACUUUCUAUUCCUUCCAGAUGGUUUGGUGUGAACAUAACUCUUCUCCCCAGAUUAAGUCUAGAUUUCUCUGUCUGCGAAACAGGAAAACAGCAGUGCCUGCCCACUGGGUGUUGUGGGGCCCAGAAUUGGUGUGUUGUGUUCAGCAAUCAGGCUCAUUAGGCAAAUUAAGAACAGUCAGUUCCCGGUGGUUUCUUGACUCCCCAGGGCAAGGGUGGGGCCCUUUCCUCUCACCCGCAGCACCCGGUAGAUGCCGGCUCUCCAGCAACACCAGCACCAGGGCUGGGGGAGUCAGUGAAGCCAGGCACCACUCUGGCCCUGGGAUCUCAGGGUACAGUCCCUGCCGCUCCCUCCAGGCCUCCACCCCUCCCAAGCGCUCUGCGAGUCUAUCCUCCCCUGUGGGGUGAGCUUGCAGCAGUGCAGAAGGGGCUUCUGGUCAUCCGAGGUGACAGUAGGCCCACGUCCACUCCAGGCCCCUUCUCCCCUCUAGAGGGAGAAAAUCUCCUUCAAAAGAUGUUCCACAACCUAAAUGUGAGCCUACAGAGGACGAGAUAAAGAAACUGUGGUGUAUUUAUACAAUGGAAUACUAAUUUGGCCAUAAAAAGAAUAGAAUAAUGCCAUUUGCAUCAACAUGGACGGACCUGGAGAUCAGCAUUCUAAGUGAAGUAAGCCAGAAAGAGAAAGAAAAAUACCAUAUGAGAUCGCUCAUAUGUGGAAUCUGAAAAAAUAAAACACAAAGGAACUUAUUUACAAAACAGACACAUACUCAUAGACACAGAAAACAAACUUUGGUUAUCAGGGGGGAAGAGGGAUGGGAAGGGAUAAAUGGGGAGUUUGAGAUUUGCAGAUACUAACUACUAUAUAUAAAAUAGAUAAACAACAAGUUUAUACUGUAGAGCACAGGGAACUAUACUCAGUAUCUCAUAAUAAUCUAAAUGGAAAAGAAUAUGAAAAGGACUAUACAUACGUACAUGUGUGACUGAAGCAUGAUGUUGUACGCCAGAAAUGAACACAACAUUGUAAACUGACUAUACUUCAAUUUAAAAAAAGAAUAAGAAAAAGAAAAAGGCGUUACACACAUGAAACCACGUGUUUACCGAAAGCCCCAAACCAGAAGCAGCACUCCACCCAUCCUUCCACAGGCAGAGGGCAAACAAGCUACUCAGCAGGAAAAAGUUCCGAUGCAGCCCCAGGUGGCCCACAUCCUCUCCUGUGGAGAACCUGAGAUGCCCCAGGAAGGGCGUCACCCCACCUCAUCCUGCGAGGACCGUCCUUGUUAUCAUGAGAGUGUCUCCCGCUACCGCCUUGCACACCUGAGGGCAGACCUGCCCCGGGUGCUCCGGAGCCCAGGGAAAGACCAGCCCUGCUGCACCCUCUCUUCCUGGGGGUCCCCUUUUGCAGAAGCUUUCCACCUCUCAGGCCUCCUUCCUCUGCAUUUCCCUCAGGAAGCAGGUAACUGACCUCUGUCUCCUCUUGGAGUGUUUGGCUGUGUCAGCAGCCGUGCGGCCCCUGACAGCCAUUCGCAAACCGUUGUCACCCAGAAAGGGGUCCCAGAGGGGUUCAAACUUCUUGUUGAAGGACCCACAAAAUAACUGCACUUUAGGUCAUGACCCAAGUCCCUUACACAAACACCAGCCCUGGCUAGACCCAGCGUGUUCUAAAACAGUGCUGGCUGUUCUAGCUUCAUUUGUAAUUUUGAGAUUGAUUUCAGGACCUUCAGCAGCGACUGGGCCCCGGGGAUCCAGGAGGCACCGGCUUGUGGGAUCACACUAUGCUUUCAGGAGUUUUGCCCGCUGGUAGUUAAACAGAAGCUUUAUUAAAAAUUAAAUGCCAUAAGCUUACAAAAUGUGUGAGACUGUGCAAACCCUGCUCUUGGAGUUAGCACUGCCUCACGCGGUGGAGACGCUGGAUUUGAGGGGCCCCUUUCACUAUGCACUUUGGAUGUGCUGUUUCUCACAUGGAAGGAGACGGUUUUGUUCCAGGAGGUGAGUCUGCUCAGUUUUCACUUCCUUCGUGGCUCUUUUUUCUGCUCCUUCUGCUGUGUUUUACUUGCUCCUUUCCCUUCAUUUUAUAUGUUUUAUUCUCACUCUGUCUUUGUUGAGACUCGGCACUGGUUGCCUUUGUUUAUACCUCACCUCCAGUGUGGCGAGUCCUCCCAGGACCAGCUGUUUAUGGGAGGCUCCAUCAGGGGCCAGGGUCUGCCUUGGGGGGGAGGGUUCUGUCGGGGGCCAGGGUCUGCCAGGAGGCAGGGCUGUACGUGGGGGACCACCUCGGCCCCAGGCGUCAUGAGGACCUGCACAGUGCGAGGUCCUAUUUGGUGGCUCCAACCAUUCUUUUUCAUGCCAGGUGAGGCCAGGGACCCACACUCUGCUCUCCCCCUGGGUGUGUCACAGUCUGAAGCUUUGUGACCUGCAGCCUCUCGGGAUGUCCCCCACGCCAGCUCCCCUGUCCACGUGGUCUCCUAGCUUUGCUGGAGGUGGAGUGUGUUUCUCCUUCUCCUUUUCUUUGUUGGUCUUGGUUCCCAGAAGAGGGGUGAGUAUGGUCUCCACUCUGCCGUUUCACCCCUGAAGUCUCUAUUGCCCCAGUGUCCUCUGAACCCUUGCUGACGGGUCUGAGGCCGUCUUGGUUCCUCAUCUGAUGUCCUGAAGUUCCCUCUGGCCUCGUCCGGACUUCCUCAGCCCUCAGAGGGGUCAGUCUCCUGAGUCACGUCUUCUUUCUGCAUGGGAAGUUCUCCUGUUACGUCCUAGUGUUACUCACCCUUCUCUCUUUCUCUCUGAAGUCCUAGUGGUGAGACGUCUUACUCCUGAGCCUGGUGACCUCUCCUCAGCCCUUGCACACCUUCCAUCCCUUCCUACCUUCAGAGCCUGCCCGCACCUCGACCUCCCUUUCUCUGCGGUGACAGGUCCACCCUCCCUGCGCGCAUCUCCUGCAGUCUGCUGAGGCUUGAGGGGGGAGGAGACCCAGGUGCCUGGGGGCACCAGCCGCCCCACAGCUCCCCCAGACAUGGAAACAAGCCUGCGUCACGCUGAGAGGGAGACUGGCUUUGGCCGUCUCCCGUGAAUGGCGCUCUGCCGCUCCUUUCUACAGUCACCACUGCUGCUGGUUCACCUGCUGAUUUGUUGUGACCCUCAACCAUCUUUCCGUUGUCCUGUUGUCUGGUAACUAGUUUUCAGUUUGUGCUGAAACACUUGGACAUGGUCUUUGGACACCUCUUUGUCACUACUGAAUAUCCCCUUUUCUGACGGAAAGGUUCUCUAGGCCAUGGUCAUUCUCGGGAGGGAAAACUAAUGUACGUAUAGUGUCUGUGGAAGGGCCCCAGUGCAGCUCCAUGUUGAAUCCCUGUCUGUGCACAGCUCUCGGGAGACCUGCCAACUGCUGACACGGUCCAGCUCUCUCCCAGACGCUCCUGUCGCCUGUCUUCCCAGGUCCAGCUCAUCUCUGUCCGAAUGCUCUGUGGUCUGAGUAAAAGUCUCAUGGCUUCAUCAACAUGCCAGGUCCCUACACUCACACACAAAGAAGGAAAAGCAGCACCUUACGGACCACGCACUCUACUUACCUGCAUGUUUCACCCCAGAGGCUGUGCUGACUUGGGAAGAGUUGUGCUGACUCACUGUCCAAGUCACUGAUAUCUUUUCAAAUUAGUGUCACAGCAAACUGUUACCCCAUGCUCACGGCCAAAAUAUCACGUCACACGUAUUAGCUUUUGACCUUAACGUUCAAGCCACCAGCCAUGGCCUACCAGGGUUUUCACAGUUUCUUAGAGUUCCAGGACACUUCUUCAAGCGAGAGCACAACAUAUUAAACACGCCCAGGAGGAGUUGCCCUGGUUGAACACAGGAGGCGCUGGGGUUCCGCCUUUGGCGUCCCCCACUCUGGUGGCUCAACGACCACCCUCAGGAGACAUCCGGCAGAGAGAACAUGUGAACAGGAAGCAUUGUGCAAAGAAGAAAAAGAUACAGACCGAGGCAGACCCUGAAACUGAUGUGAUUUGGCAUGGGGGGGGUGGUGGUGGGGAUCACUGAUCAAAAAGAAAAGAGGGUAAAACUUCAAAGAGAAAUGACUAGUGUCUUCCCAGGGCCUUGGGCAGGUGGGGCCUCUGGACCUCAGCCCUUUAGCUUCAGGGGAAAUCUGCGUUUUCCCUGCGGGGGGGCCAGUGGUACAGGAACAGGUCGGGAAGAAGGAAGGCACGGCCAGGGCUGGGAUGGGUGUGGUGGUGAGCAGGUAGGAUUUGGGAAGUCUUCAGGAACCAGAUUAAAAGGGUCCUGGGAGCUCUUGGAGCAGGGGAAACAGCUCGUAGCAGCUAGUGGACCAGGGCAGGAGGGCAGGACGCCACAGCCCCAGCGGCAGGCCCCUCCGCACCUCCCCAGACCACCGUUAGCCCUGCUGAGGAGCAGAAGCUUCACUGACCUCAUCACCCCAAGGAAAGCAGCAGCUGGUCUCCGACUGAAGACCUUCAGACCUUCCGUCAUGCCUUUGACACCAAGACGUCUACUGUGAUGUCUGUGGAAGAAGACGAGCCGCCGCCCGUGAAACACCUCGGGUGCUUCACCCAGGCACCACAGACACCGGGGUGCCGGCAGAGGGGGACGUUCCCGGACCAAGAGUCAGACCCUGGGCCCAGCUCUGUCCCCUCCCCAGCCCGGCCACCAGGAAGGCUGAACCAGCUGUUGUCACUGCUUCCUGCCUCGGUGCCAUUUGACAGCAAGCACUUCCAUUUUCAGAAAUUAAGCGGCUCAGGUGCCUCCGGCCCAAGGAUAAGAUGACCAUUUUCUGACAUUUAAACUCAGUUUUGUCCUCGAAGAAACAAGCUUUAAGAACACAUGGACUAAAGGGGGAGGGCGUAGCUCAGUGGUGGAGUGUGUGGCUAGCGUGCGUGAGGUCCUGGGUUCAACCCCAGCACCUCCAGUAAAAUAGACAAAUGAAUAAACCUAAUUAUUCCCCCCUCCAAGUAAAUUUUAAAAAUACAUUAAAUAAGCAAAUAAUUUUUUAAAAAGACACAUGGAUUAACUAUUGAUGAAAGGAUGGGUAGCAGGGCAGAGUGUAAAAGAGGGGAGACUGGGGUCCUCUUUU